rnacentral:tRNA from 1 species
GGAAUAUUUAUACAAAAAGCUUCUAACUUUUUCUCAAGCAGUUAAAUUCUGUUUAUAUUCCU